rnacentral:rRNA from 1 species
AUUGAACGCUGGCGGCAGGACUAACACAUGCAAGUCGAGCGAGCGGCUGACGGGUUAGUAAUGUCUGGGAAAAUGCCUGAUGGAGGGGGAUAACUACUGGAAACGGUAGCUAAUACCGCAUACCAUCAGAUGUGCCCAGAUGGGAUUAGCUAGUAGGUGGGGUAACGGCUCACCUAGGCGACGAUCCCUAUCUGGUCUGAGAGGAUGACCAGCCACACGGGCACUGAGACACGGUCCAUACUCCUACGGGAGGCAGCAGUGGGGAAUAUUGCACAAUGGGCGCAAGCCUGAUGCAGCCAUGCCGCGUUUGUGAAGAAGGCCUUCGGGUUGUAAAGCACUUUCAGCGGGGAGGCGUUACCCGCAGAAGAAGCACCGGCUAACUCCGUGCCAGCAGCCGCGGUAAUUC